GGAAGUUAAGCAACGUUGAGCCUAGUCAGUACUUAGAUGAGGGACCCCAUGGGAAUACCAGGUGCUGUAAGC